CGAACGGGUGAGUAACGCGUGAGGAACCUGCCUCAAAGAGGGGGACAACAGUUGGAAACGACUGCUAAUACCGCAUAAGCCCACGGCUCGGCAUCGAGCAGAGGGAAAAGGAACAAUCCGCUUUGAGAUGGCCUCGCGUCCGAUUAGCUAGUUGGUGAGGUAACGGCCCACCAAGGCGACGAUCGGUAGCCGGACUGAGAGGUUGAACGGCCACAUUGGGACUGAGACACGACCCAG
rnacentral:rRNA from 1 species